rnacentral:lncRNA from 1 species
AAGAAAUUGGUGACAUUACUGAACUUACAGAAGUAAAGGUAACUUGCAGUUCACGCUUGUUGUUAGAUUAGUGAAUUUUUUUUUAAAGUAUUUAGAAAAAUACCAUAUCAAAUAUGGUAGAAGCUGGUGAUUCAGUUCCAGAUGUUUUGUUUAGUCAAAUUAAUGCUUGCUCAAGGUGGUGAUCGGGCAGAGACGUUCACCAGGCAAAAUGCUUAGCAACAUUUCAUCUAUCUUUGCAUUCUAAGUUCAAAUUCUGCUGAGGUUAACCUCAUCUUUCAUCCUUUUGGGGGGUCAAUGUAAUUGACUUACCUCCUUCCCCAAAAUUACUGGCCUUGUGCCAUAAAAUGAAAUUUAUACUUGUCCAAUCAACAAUAAAGUAUUAAGAAAACUGGUUAGGAAAUAUUUACAAAUAUUUGGUCUAGAUGGCUGGUGAUUGAUUGAUUGAUUGAUUGAUUGAUUCUAGUUUCAGAUUUGGCUUUCACAAAAAGUUGAGAUGAAAAAGAUAUUUGAUAAGAUAUAAAUUGUUAGAUUUAAAAUUAGAAUUUAUUAUUUGUAUUUUUUUUUUUUUAAACUUUGAAAGUAAGUUUCUUCUGUUGUCAGGUAAGCGAGUAUUGUCUGCCUCAGUUCACUUAGCUAAACACUGUGGUAAACUUGCAUUCUAUCUCAUCCACUCACUACUACAGAAACCAAGAAUUAAAUACCUGCAAAGAAAACUCAAGAUCUGUUGAAGAAUUAAUUUCAGAGAAAUGCUGUGUCAUAUUCUUAUGUGAUGGAGAUGUUUGUGAGUAGGACGACAUGUCCAAGAAUGUUUGUAGUGUCUUGUGUGGCAGAAUUGAAAGACUGACAUGUUAGCAUUUGAAUAUCAAAAAAAUUUCAGAACAUUCGUUUAAGCCUUAAUUCUAUUUCUUUUUUCUUCUUCUUUAUGUCAGCUGUCAGAACUGUGUCCCUUGGAUUUGGUCAUAGGUGGAUCUCCUUGUAAUGAUUUGUCUUUGGUUAAUCCUGCUCGCAAAGGAUUCUCUGAAGGUAUAGUUUACAUACUCUGUAUAUAUUGCUAUUGUUAAGUACCCAACCAGUAUGUACGUGAUUGCACACACGCACACACAUAUAAUCAUCAUCAUUUAAUGUUUGCUUUCCAUAGUGGCAUGGGUUAAACGGUUUGACUGGAACUGGUAAGCCAGAGGGCUGCACCAGGUUCCAGUCUGAUUUGGCAUGGUUUCUAUGGCUGGAUGCCCUUCCUAAUGCCAACCACUCCUAGAGUGUAACAGGUGCUUUCUAUGUGCCACCAGCAUGGGUGCCAUUUACUUGACAUUGACAAUGAAGACUACAAUUUCACUUAGUUUGACCAAGUUUUCCCAAGCACAACAUCCCCAAAGGUCUUGGUUACUUGUCAUCACCUCUGUUGUGCCUAACAUUCAAACAUCAUGCUUCACCACCUCAUCUCAUGUCUUCCUGGGUCUACCUUUUCCGCUGGUUCCCUCCACAGUUAGAGCUCGGCACUUCUUUAAACAGCUACCUUCUUCAUCCAUGUGCAUCACACAACCAUGCCAGUGCAUUCAUCUCUCUUGCACACCACAUCUAAUGCCUCUUAUGUCCCAUUUAUGCUGUCAUGUGCUCACUGAUAUUGCACAUCCAGCGAAACAUACUGGCUUCAUUUCUUUCAAGCUUUUGAAUGUCCUCUGCAGCCACAGCCCAUGUUUCACUACUGUGGGGCACAGCUGUUUACACACAGGCAUUAUACAAUCUGCCUUUCAUUCUGAAGGAGAGGCUGUUUGUUACCAACAGAAGUAGAUGCUCUCUGGGCUUUGCUCAGCUCAUUCUUAUUUUAGCAUCUACACUCUUGAAGCAUCCAUCUCCACUACUGACUUGGUUACCUUGAUAAUGGAAGCUAUCAACUACUUCUAGGUAUCCUUAAGGCAUUUGAUGGAGUCUUAUUUUCUGUACAUUUCUGAUGCUGCUACACCAGUCAUUGGGUAUGACUACCACGCAUCACAGGACCAUACCAGCACAAUCGUCCCUCUUGCACACCAUAUCUGAUGCCUGUUAUGCCCAGCUUUUCUCUCACGAUGCUUACACUGUCAUACAUGCACACUCACAUUGCACAUCCAGCAAAGCACACUAAUUUCAUUGCUUUCAAGUCUACACAUGUCCUGUGCAGCCACAGUCCCUGCUUCACUGCUGUUAACAUACAAGCAUCAUACAGUUUGCCUUUCACACUGAGGGAGAGACCCUUUGUUGCCAACAGAAGUAGGAGCUCUCUGAACGUUGCCCAGCCUAUUCUUAUUCUAGCAGCUACACUCUCAGAACAUCCACCACUACUACUGACCUGGCCACCGAGAUAACAGAAGCUAUCAACUACUUUUAGGUAACCCACCCCCCUGGCAUUUGAUGGAGAUAUUGCUGCACCUCUUAUGUAUCCAUAGCUUACUCUGCAUAUAUCUUAUGGAAUUUCUACCUAUGCCUUUUCUACAGAUUGAGCAGGGCCAUCUACCUGAGGGGAUUUGUGGUUUGUCUGCUUUCCUACUUAUUAAGACUUUGGUUUUUGCUAGGUUAUCUCUAAUGCCUAUAAUUACUAGACUCCUGAAACUUCUCUAGUUCUGGUAGUGAUUCAGCAAUAAGAACGAGAUCAUCAGCAUAGAGGAGUUCCCAGGGGCAGCCCGUUUUAAAUUCCUCUGUUACUGCUGGAGGACCAUGAUGAACACGAGGGGAUGAGGACUGAUCUUUGGUGAACCCCUAUUUGUACCCUGAAUUCUUUGCUAUACUCAUUGCCAACCUUCACCUUACAGACAACAUCCCUGUACAUGGCUUGUACAGCUCUCGCCAACAGCAUGCCUGUCACUAGUUUCUGCAUUGACCACCAGAUAAGUGAUUGGGGGAGCCUGUCAAAGGCUUUCUCCAAGUCAACAAAAGCCUAGCACAGAGGCUUAUCUUUGGCUAGGUAUUUCUCCUGCAGCUGCCUUACCAGAAAUAUAGCAUCAGCGGUGCUUCUCUCUGGCAUAAAAGCAAACUGCAUCUCAUCUAGACUAACUCUCUCCCUAAUUAGUUGGGCUGUGACUCUCUCCAUAACUUUCAUCACCCGAUCCAACAAUCUGAUACCCGUGUAAUUAUUUCUAUCCAAGGCAUCACCUUUCCAUUUGUUCACUAUGGUGCUGCUAUACCAGUCAUUCGGUAUAGCUCCUUCAUGUACAACUUGAUUAACUAUACCGGUGACUAGAGCAUAACCCAUACCACCAGAUCUUUUAACCAUUUCAGUGGUUAUUCCAGAUGGGCCAGGGGCUUUUCCAAUCUUCAUAUCCUUCAUGGCUUUGUCUACCAUGCUACUGUCUAUUUGAAUUACUGGUCCCUCUGUUGGAUCCUUACUAGGCAGACUCUCCUCCCUCUCCCAUGAGUUCUCCACAUUUAAUUGCGUUUGUUAGUGGCACUUUCAAAUCUCCUUCUUUGCAGGGUCACUAACUGCCAGUGACCCAUCAUCCAUGUGGAGACAUUUCUCUCCUAUCACAUCACGAUUUUCUCUGACAUACUGUCUUGCAAUCAUUCCUCUCCUACCACAUCACAGUUUAAAACAAUUUACAAACCAUUCACUCCAGUUCAGGGAACCACACUCUUCUGAAGUCACCCAUUCAUACUUUAAACAAUGUUUUUGUGUGAUAUUUGUACUUGUCAUUUCUUCCCCCCCCCACUUCUAUUCUAUCAUAAAGCAAAAUGCAACAAGCAUAACUAUUUGCUGCAGAGUUGGAUAGUUUGUGUCUGAUAAUGAAAGUGAUGUUUCUAUUAAAAACUUGUGAAGGAUGUAAAAAGUAGUUUUAUUAAAAUCACAGUCUUUUUGCUGAGUCAAAAACACGUGAUCGUUUCCUCUUAUUUCUAGCCUCAAUUAUUCCAGACAAUACAAAUAGAUAAGUGCUCCCCGUCCUAUUUAUCGUCUUACUAUUAUGACAUGUAAUAUAUCCCAAUAUGUCUCAGGUGAGAACAGUAUCAGCACAUAUCAUGUUCCUUCCUAUAUUAUUUCAACCAAUCACCUCCUUUUUAUGUCUUUAUCCGCUGUUCUCUCUCUCCACUCUGCCACAUGUUAAAUACUUUUCUUAUCUGCUAUCAUUCUCAAUAUCCUCUCAUAAGCCCCAUAUUUAUCCUUUCGGACAUCCAGCAAUAGAAACUAUAGCUAAGAUGACAUUGCAGCUUGCCAGUUCUGUUUCAAACUGGCCUGGAAAUGGGGACUAUUUCCAGUAUUAUGAAGGCUUUUGAAAUUAGUGAAUAAAUUCUGUUUUACAUGCAUUUUAGUUGGAUAAUGUAUACAAUUCCUCAGUAUUAAAAUUUCCUCAUCAUAUUUGGUGAUAUUUAAAUAAGUUGUCCUCCAAAAUAACCACAUUCAUGUCAGUAUAUAAAAAGUUGUUUUAUGGAACCAAUUUAAAUCUCUUUGAAAUAUGUAGGGAUGUAUUUUAAGCUCCAACAUAUAUUAAUAAAGUUAAAAUGUAUUUUUCAGCAUCUCUCUAAUUUUAUAAACAAACAGAUUCAGUCAAAAUAUUUUCUUUCCAGAGGGUACCGGUAUUUUAUUCUUUGAGUUUUGUCGGAUUCUGUCAAUUGUUCAAAGGUUGUGCAAAGAUCGACAUGUCUUUUGGCUUUAUGAAAAUGUUGCUGCAAUGAAAACCAGUUACAAAAAUAUAAUCUCCAGAUUCCUAGGUGUAAGUACUAAUUUCUAAAUUAAGAUGUUGAUUAAAUAUCUGUUUUCAUAUGUUUAGCACUGUGGUAGUUAGAUUAGAUAACUUAUAGAAUCCAACCAGUUAUAAAUUUUAAGGUUUAAGUAAAAUAUAGCAUGUACUUCUGUUUUACAGAAUGGUAUGAAUUAAAUUUUGUUGACUUCGAAUUGUUUUGCAAAUGAUAAGUGUCUUUGAAUGGUUUCAGAAAAAAUACUUAUUGAACAUGAAAAUAACGAUUUCUUUAUUGUUCCUUCAAGGGCAUUGAGUGACAGAAUAAUGUUACAAACUAUGCUUAUUUGAUAAAAAUGAAGGUAUUCAUAUGUGCUAGUUCCAAGUGGGGUUUUAAGAGAAUAGAUAACAUCUUUCUAUCUAGAUGUCUUUUCAGACAUAAUUACUUUCGAAAGAAUUAUGCAUGAAAGCCUAAACAGGAUAAACUUACAAUUAGAAUGUUAGACAGGGCAGUGAACUGACAGAAUAUCUUGUGGGUAUUUUCCUCAAAAUUGCUGGCCUUGUCAGACAUGCAUUUGCUGUUCAAGAAGAAAGACUAUUUUAAAAUGUUAUUCUCUGAAUUUUUAUAAGAUAUUCAGUUGUGUUGGUGCAUUCACAAGAUUUAAAUAUACAGUCAAAGGUUUUCAAGAUAUUUGAGUCCACUUAAUUUCAUGAUUUACUUGUAGUGUAAACCUGCUCUCUGGGAUGCAAAGUUUUUCUCAGCACAACACAGGCCCAGGUAUUUCUGGGGUAACUUACCAACAAUAUACAGGUAAGGUUGACAUUCAAUUUUGAAAUAACUGCAUAAUCUUUUAAGCUAUAAUUUAUAUUUUAACAAAUGAAAUUAAACUAGAUUGAGUAAAUAGGAGGUAUUACUAGUCAGAAAUAAUUUGAUGACUAUAUUUGAUACAAUGUCUUAGCUAUGACAAUUCUAUCAUUUAUAGUGAAUGUCAUUUUUUCAUUAUUCCCAGCAGAAGAGUAAAAUAAUUUGGCAAUUUAGUCACCAAUGAUUGUUUUCUGACAUUUUAUAUAGAUAUUCCUUUGCAAUAAAAAAUAUUCUGAUGUAUAAAUGAGGAGUAAUUUCAUCAUAUUGACUUGCUUAGGAUAGUUUAUAUAGAGACGAAAACUGCAGUAAUGCUAAAGUAAUACUGGCCAGCUCAAUUCAAACUAAACCAAAAGUAUAUAUAAAAUUCACAAUGUCUUAUCUGUAUGUUUAGUGUCAGUUUAUCAUUUAAAGACUUCUUCAAUAAUUAUUUAUUUAAUGUAAACAUUUUCUUCCAGUUCACAGCCAACAACUGAAGAUGAUUCUCUUUACUUAGAUAAAAUUCUUUCACCAAACUGCAACAGAAAGGCUAGAGUAAGUUGGUUCGAUUUUCUAUACCUAGACAAUAGCUGUCUUGAGAAGUAUGAUUCACAACCUAUCAUAUCUGUAUGUUUGAAACAACAGUAUUGUCUCAAAAAUGCCAGUUAAUAAAUAUCGAUUCAUUAACUAAAUACCAGAAAGGAAAUAUAUACUGUUGAUAUGUUUGUGGUGCAUGGCUACAAUCCAUUAACUUAUAACAGUAAAGGAAGACUAAUACAUCAUUUAGGCAUUGUAAAAUAUCAAUGUAUUUUGUCAUCAGGUGAAACAGCUACGGACAGUGACAACAAGAAGUAACUCACUCAGACAGGGAAAAAAUGAAAAUAUUUUGCCAGUUGAAAUGGAUGGAGAAGAAGACGCUAUUUGGAUUACAGAAUUGGAAAAGUAAGUCUUUUCUGCUUAUUACGGUGAAAUAAAUUUCUACAAAUAUUUUGGUUCUUAGUUGCUGAACCUGCAGGAAAGAACUACACUCUUUAAACCUAUGGGGAAAAAUAUGGCAUAGAGGACACAAGGGUGAAAAUAGAGUAAUUGACUUCUCACCUUUUCAGAUAAAGGUGUAAUUAUUGUGUUUGAUAAAAAGGUAGUUGUCUAGCCCCAUGACCAAAGCUAUUUCAGCUGUGAUCAUCUGAUCCACUUGGAUUACAUAUCCCCCCCCCCACGACGACGACCAACUAAAGCCAACAGUUUAGCAGUUUUGCAAUUUGGCAACUAACCUUUUGGCCCCUAUCAAUCCUGACUGCUUGUUAUACUUUAAUAACUGGUAGCAAUAUUGAAAUGACAUUUUUGUGAUAAUCUCUGGUCAUUCAUCAUCAUCGUUUAAUGUCCGUUUUCCAUGCUGGCACGGGUUGGGCAGUUCAACUGGGGUCUGGAGAGUCAGAAGGCUGCGCCAGGCCCAGUCUGAUCUGGCAGUGUUUCUAUGGCUGGAUGCUCUUCCUAAACGCCAACCACUCCGUGAGUGUAGUGGGUGCUUUUUACGUGCCACUUGCACAGGUGCCAGACGAGGCUGGCAAACAGCCACGAACGGAUGGUGCAUUUUACGUGCCACCGGCACGGAGGCCGCAUGCUAAGCCCAAAUCUACUUUUGCUGUAAAGAGAACAAGGAACGCUUAUUCAAAAUGUUGCUCUUUGAUGAACUGAGGAAGUCGUCUGCUUUCAUUUCUGAUGCUGUUGUUUCUAACGAAAGUUUAUAAAAUGAUUUCCAAAAGCAUAACAAUAUUUUCUUUGGAAUAUUUUUCAAGUCAAUAAUUGAUAUUUCAAACUGCUAUGGUAAAUUCUAACUUGUGGCACAGCUUAUGUCUGCAAAUGUUUUCUUUUUUUUAGAGGAAAGCCUGUAUUCUACACUUUCCUACCAACAGAUAAAUAUUCCACAUUUCCUCUCUUUAAAGUUUGUAUCUUAUUUCAGAAUCUUUGGUUUUCCUACACAUUAUACUGAUGUACGAAAUCUUAAUCACAGCCGUCGACAGCGGCUCCUUGGAAGAGCUUGGAGUGUUCCAGUAAUUAAGUUCCUGUUAUCCCCAUUGACCAAAUUAUUCCACACUGCUACUUAAUGUAAGUAAAACAAACAUCAUUAUGCAAGAACAAACAAACAAUUAGUGUCACUGAGUGCACGUUUUAAAAUGUCGUUUGCAUCACUCCAGGUCACUAGACUUAUUAUUUCAUUCGAAAAGAGUACAAUGUUUUGGCUUACUCUCUUAAGUCUAUGGAAAGUAUUUCAAGGUCCAUAUUUUCUUAUUUGAAUUAAAUAUACCUUCAUCCUCCUGAUGUUUCUGUCAUUCUGUAUAUAGAGUUGUAUUAUUUGAUAGAGUUGUAGUAUAGACCCAGGUAAGUUGAUUGGUAGAAGCAUGUUUAUCUAUCAACUCCCAGUGUUUGUGAGGAAUUGUACAAACAUCAAUGUGUGUGUGUAAGUUUACUGUCUCUGUCAAGUAGUGGGCUUCACUGGCAAAGAUGUUUAGUAAGAUUAUCUUAUUUGGAAGAGUGCAGAAGUCCUUAUAACACAGAUGCUAGUGAAAUGCAUUUCCUUGAAUAGAGUAAACCAACUCUGAAGAAGUGGGUUUUGUGUGUUUGUUGCAUUGCUAAGUAAGAUGUUGAUAUCAGCAGAUUCUUUGUUGAAACCUUUGCCUGACUGACUGGAAAUGGCACAUCUGUUGUCAUAAGGCUGUUUCAAAGAAAGCCAGCCUCUCUUUGAUUUUAUCGUUCAUUAAAAAAGAAAAAGUCAAAAGAUGUCAACUAUAUUAGUUGGUCUCCAGAAAAAUAUCUUUUAACAUUAGCUAGAAGUUCCAAUUACCUGCCACUCUGCUCCAUCAGAUUACCAGCAACAAGACAUGAGAUUGUUAAUUUGUUGGAUAUUUUUAUAAAUCUGGCCUGUAUCUCUGUACUUUAUGUGUUGUGUCAGAAUCUGAAAAAGUCAAAUCUGCAGAUGAAUAACAUUGAAAAUAGCUUUAUGUUCAGAUGAAGCUGACGAUGGUGAAGGCUGUAGUGAAAAUAAGUGACAAAAGAAAAUUUGGGAAGUAAUUUGUUAAAUAUAUUUACUAUCUUGUGUACAAAAAAAAAAAAAAAAAAAAAGAGACAUUUAUAUGUCUAAAGUAAAUUUUAUAUUUUCCAUGAAUCCCAUUAAAUAAAUUCUACACAGAUUGUGGAGAUUGGCUCCUAGCUGAUGACACUUAACGGCCAUGCAGACAUAUCAUGGUUGGGGGGAGGGGCACGAGAAAAAAAAAUAUAUGCAAUGAAAAUAGAAUGUUACACUAUUUACAUUGAUUAAAAACUGUCUUACACAAAGGGGUGGGGAGUUGAAUGAGGAGACAUUAGUUUGUUGGGUCCGAUCAGCUUCUUAAUUUAUUUGCUUGGAAUCAGCUGCAGUUUGCCAAUAAUAAUAAUAAUAAUAAUGGUGGCAGGGGAGAAUUAGUGUAGCGAUUGUCUGAGGAAUGAAAGAAAUGGUUGGGAGAAACAAUAACUAAGUGACAGCAAAUUUGUGAGGCAUUGGGUAUCAAGUAAUUUCAACAAUGGGUUUAUUUAAAAUAAAAUGAAACUCAAUGGAAACUGUAAAAUUACAGAACCCUUCCUUUACUAUAACAAAGAAUCUCAAACCCCUAUGAACCACUGAGAUUUAUUUUUCAAUAAAGUAAUAUUUCUGGUUGAUUUCUUCAUGGUAGCAGGUAUUGGAUAUGAAGAAGAAAUGUUUAAACAAAUAUAUUUUUCUGCUGACAAACUGAAACAAGUUGAAUAUUUUAACUCGGAGAGAGAAAUACUGCAAUGACAUGGUUGGAACCCAUUUUCACAGCAUUUGCACCAUAAAAAAAUUCAAAAGCAGUGACAUGCAUUGAAAAAUAUUGGCAUGAUAAUAUAAAAAAACCUUAGUGUAAACUUACUAUCUUAUGUGUGUCUAUAGCUGCACAACCAAAUAGACAUUUCACUGCAUUUUAUAUCAAUUACUAACAUAAUUAAACAAAGUGGGUCUCCUAAAUACUAGAGCAAGCAACUAUGAACAUUGCACUAGCUAUGAGAGAGGCAGGAAAAGGGUGGAUCUGGCUUAGCUGAGCACUCCACAGACUCUUGUACCCUUAACAUAAUUCUUGAGUAGAAUCAGCAUGACAAGGCUGUACAAUUCAUUUGAUAUUUGGCUUGAAGAUACAGAUUUACACACACACACAAAGGACAAUUACUUUCAAAUUUAUGGAGAGGUAAAAUAAGCUGUUUUUACGGUGAUGUAAUUAUUGAUUUGGGCUUUGGAAUUUUCAAAGGGUGAAAGAAAAGAAAAAGUUUGUUAGAGGAAAAUAAGAUUAAAUGAGAGGGGCAGAAAGAAGAGAUAAAGGGUUGAUUACAGUAUAAAAGAUAUAUAAAUGUAAAAUACUCUUGAAUUCACAAGGGAGAGAUUGAAAUGUGUUAAACUGACAUUUCAUAACACACAUGGGCAUUGUGUUGAAAAACUAUUAUAAAACAGUUUGAAAGAGAAUAACUCAUCUCAACACUUUCAAGCAAAUACACACACACACAGUCCUAACACAUAUAUCUAUAUAUUUUUCAGACACAUUCUUGUGGUUUGAGAGGUAUCCAAAUAAAGGGCAACUUCUUGUUAUCCCCAGACAUGCCAGCAUCAGAAACCAAAAGCUAGAAGGGAAGCUUAACUAAGUCCAGUAAACUAAAUCGCCUUCACUGCAUGUUUUCCAUUACUAAUUGUUCUCAAUUGGCUGGAAUUUGCAGCUUGUUUUCAAAACAAAUUAAAAUAAACCAAAUUGUCUAGAUCAGUCCUUAAAACUGUUAUGAACUUGCUUGUAGCUAACAAUGGUAGACAGAGCCCCUGCCCCCAGUUAGUGUGCAACAGGUUGUUAGUGGCUAAAUAAAUGAACAACUGCAAAUCACAGUGGUUAGAGGAUGAGUAUAUAAGGGAUUGGUUGCUGGUCACAGUGAAUGGUAAUUAAGGUUAAUCAGAGAUCAGUUAACAUGUUCCGCAAAGCCAUUCAUUGACAGGUCGGGGUAUUGAUAUCGUUGUAUUUCAUUGGGAGAGGAAGAAGAGGAGGGGAAGGUUGUGGUGGCAUUGGCUGCAGCAUAAAGGGUGUGAGUGGAGCAGGAGUUGGUGGUUAACUGGGUAGGUGGGUAUCAUCAUGGUAAGGGUGGCCAGUG